GUGCCAGCAGCCGCGGUAAGACGAACCGUGCAAACGUUGUUCGGAAUCACUGGGCUUAAAGGGCGCGUAGGCGGGCAAGCAAGUCGAAGGUGAAAUCCCACGGCUCAACCGUGGAAGUGCCCCCGAUACUGCUUGUCUUGAGGGAGAUAGGGGCGUGCGGAACUUCCGGUGGAGCGGUGAAAUGCGUAGAUAUCGGAAGGAACACCGGUGGCGAAAGCGGCGCGCUGGAUCUCUUCUGACGCUGAGGCGCGAAAGCCAGGGGAGCAAACGGGAUUAGAAACCCCGGUAGUCC
rnacentral:rRNA from 1 species